UUUUGACCUCAGUGGAGCAUUUCACCUCCAGCAGCUGUGUAAUUAACUGGAAUGAGUGUUAGACCGCUUGUACUUUCUUCAUUGCUAUUAGUGUUAAGUACGGACUCUGGCUGCUGUAUCACAAAGGAUCAUAGGCAAUUGCCAUAACCAGCCUAUCUGCUAUCUUUUCAAGUUCAAGGAGUCUUCUCAGCAUAGUGAUUUCCGGGGAUAUAGACACUCUUGGCAAUUGGAGGGGGAAGGUGAAUUACUUUUGCACUUUUUGUUUUAAAUUAACAGGAUCAGUUCAGGAAAUGGUUGACUCAGUUGCUAGUCCAUGAGAGACGCCCAUUUAAUAGGAAAUCAUAUUUCAGAAAGAUUAUCUUCAGACCGUGAGGUGCAUGUUCUUCAAAAUGAUAUUCAUAUUCCAGGCUGCACCCCCUUCGGGCAUGUGAUCACGUCUCACCUGUUUGCAAGCAUUAUUUCAGUUUCUAUGAAGAAAAGUCUCGUCUGCUAUACUGAAUAGAGCAUACAACACUCACAGAUGGCACACAUACAGAGUCUGCAUGAUAAUCCAUUUACAGAAAAUACCACAGCCACUGCACUUAAAUGCCAUUUGAAAGAGGGACAAAGUUCACAUCACAGUGAGUA
rnacentral:lncRNA from 1 species